AGUCGUAUGGUCUAAUGGUUAUGAUAUCUCGUUCACAAGUACAUGAACAGUCUCCGAGAUGGUUCUGAGUUCGAUCCUCAGUACGACUA
rnacentral:tRNA from 1 species